rnacentral:rRNA from 1 species
UACGGGGGGAGCAAGCGUUGUUCGGAUUUACUGGGCGUAAAGGGCGCGUAGGCGGUCAGCACAAGUCAGUUGUGAAAUCUCCGAGCUUAACUCGGAACGGUCAACUGAUACUGUGCGACUAGAGUGCGGAAGGGGCAACUGGAAUUCUUGGUGUAGCGGUGAAAUGCGUAGAUAUCAAGAGGAACACCUGCGGCGAAGGCGGGUCGCUGGGCCGACACUGACGCUGAGGCGCGAAAGCCAGGGGAGCGAACGGG